AACUUUUUCAUGAAUCAAUUUUGAGCAUUAUGUUUACAACGUAGUUAUUAUAGCACGAAUUAUGAGUCUAAAAUGCCAAAUACUUGCAACUAUUAUGUUAAUCACUGAAAUCUUAGUGUACUAAUUGCUCGCUAUAAGCUAGGUUAUUGCGCCCCUAAACCAACGUACUGACAACGCUACCUCCCCGGAACUCAAACUUUAACCGGGCAUGACUUGGUACAUCCAGUGACCCAGCAAAAAGUAGCCUCGGUACAGCCAGAAGUAGCAACAAAUCGCAAAAGGGGAUCCUUGUCUGACUGGUGGCUGGACCACAUGACACUUGUUGGAAAAGGAAGGACCAAAGGUGCCAUCGUCGAGGGCCCAGAUAGAUGAAGAGAUUGAAGCCUGGGCUGCACACAAUCCUGUUAGUAACAAAAAAAGAAGGAAAAAAUGCUGUCCCAUUUGUCCAUAUGCCCAGCGCCAGAACCCAUUUAUACAUCUGGGUAGUGAGAAAAUCUAGGAAGAAGUCGCCACCCACUGAUGAUCUCAUCAAAGUUUACCAAAGACUCCAAGCAGUGUAGGAGAGGAAUGGUGGCCUGUUCGAACAGGCAUGGACUGAAUCGCCAGCUCUCAUCUCCCUAGUCACUCCGAUGGCCACGUGUCGCUCCUCGAUCAACAGCGAUUUCAAUGAAUGAUGCGUUGAUGUGGGCAAAAAGUUAAUCCUUUCUCGCCUUUGAACUCUGGUGUUCGUCAUAUCAAUCCAUUUUGAUUGUCGAGCAACUUGUGGGCACACCUCAACUUGUUAGUGGGAAGUAAUUUGCAAUAGAGUGACUUACUUUUAUGUAUUUUUUCACUUCACAUCAUUGUUAUUUUGAAAAAUCCUGCCAAAAUUCUGUUGACUGUUUGUUGUCGACAAGAGUCUAUGUUUCAUGAAUAACAAGGCUGUGUUCUGUACAUUGUA